rnacentral:rRNA from 1 species
CCCUUAGAUGUUCUGGGCCGCACGCGCGCUACACUGACGAAUGCAACGAGCUUAUAACCUUGGCCGAAAGGUCUGGGUAAUCUCCAAAUUUCGUCGUGAUGGGGAUAGAUUAUUGCAAUUAUUAAUCUUCAACGAGGAAUGCCUAGUAAGCGCAAGUCAUCAGCUUGCGUUGAUUACGUCCCUGCCCUUUGUACACACCGCCCGUCGCUCCUACCGAUUGAAUGGUCCGGUGAAGCGUUCGGACCGUGGCCUUUGGACGGUUCGCCGUCUGUUGGCUGCGGGAGGUUCGUUAAACCUUAUCAUUUAGAGGAAGGAGAAGUCGUAACA